rnacentral:rRNA from 1 species
CCUACGGGAGGCUGCAGUCGAGGAUUAUUCGCAAUGGGCGAAAGCCUGACGAUGCGACGUCGCGUGAACGAUGAAGGCCUUCGGGUUGUAAAGUUCUUUCGCUAGGGAACAAGGUCCAGGGAUGAAUAAUUUUUGGACUUGAUGGUACUUGGUAAAGAAGCACCGGCAAACUCCGUGCCAGCAGCUGCGGUAAUACGGAGGGUGCAAGCAUUAAUCGGAAUGAUUGGGCGUAAAGAGCGCGUAGGCGGGAUAGCAAGUCAGAUGUGAAAUUCCCUGGCUUAACCAGGGGGCGGCAUUUGAAACUACUUUUCUAAGAGGAUAGGCGGAGAAAACGGAAUUCCACGUGUAGCGGUGAAAUGCGUAGAUAUGUGGAAGAACACCGGUGGCGAAGGCGGUUUUCUAGCUUAAUCCUGACGCUAAGGCGCGAAAGCAAGGGGAGCAAACAGGAUUAGAUACCCCAGUAGUC